rnacentral:rRNA from 1 species
CCCUUAGAUGUCCGGGGCCGCACGCGCGCUACACUGAAGGAAUCAGCACGUCUUUCUCCUUGUCCGAAAGGACUGGGUAACCCGCUGAACCUCCUUCGUGCUAGGGAUUGGGGCUUGUAAUUCUUCCCCAUGAACGAGGAAUUCCCAGUAAGCGCGAGUCAUAAGCUCGCGUUGAUUACGUCCCUGCCCUUUGUACACACCGCCCGUCGCUACUACCGAUUGGAUGGUUUAGUGAGAUCCUCGGAUUGGUCCCGGAGCGGCCUCUGGUCGUGCCGGAGUGCCGAAAAGAAUGUCGAACUUGAUCAUCUAGAGGAAGUAAAAGUCGUAACA